AUGUCCUUAGAUGCCUCCUGGAGGUUUGGCCAAAUGUGGGAAAGCAAAGCAGCAUCCCCUUCCACCCACAUUUGCUCCUUUCCUAGCAGCCGGGACAUCUUUUUACAAGAUUCCCAGCUUGAAACCAAAAGAAAAAAGCAGAACAAAGCUCUGUCACAACGGUGUUUCCUGGUUGUCGCCUCCUGCCUGCAAGUGGCUGAAGGCUUUCCCCGGCUUGAUAUCAUCAUGCAGAAAAGGAUGAAGGCGACGCAAUGAGCGGUUCAGGUACUGACGGAGUCCCAGUCAGAUGCUUCCUUAUGGAAUUCUUACCUCCUUUUUGUUGGCUGAACACAAAAUAGUAACUGUGGGAGCACAAGAACCACUUUGGGUAUUGGAUUUUAGACUGGACCAUUGGACAGCGUGACUUACCUGGCUG
rnacentral:lncRNA from 1 species